rnacentral:rRNA from 1 species
AGGGAUUCCCCCAGUAGUGGCGAAUGAAGCGGGAAAAGCUCAAGUUUGAAAUCUGAAGUCCACUUCAGAGUUGUAAGCUGAAGAGGUGUCGACCGACUUGGUCCGGGCCCAACUUCCUUGGAACAGGAGGUCAUGGAGGGUGAGAACCCCGUCUGUGGCUCGGGUGCCAUAGUCCUUGUGUCGUGCCCUCGAAGAGUCGGGUUGUUUGGGAAUGCAGCUCAAAAUGGGUGGUAAAUUUCAUCUAAGGCUAAAUAUUGGCGAGAGACCGAUAGCAAACAAGUAGAGUGAUCGAAAGAUGAAAAGUACUUUGAAAAGAGAGUGAAACAGUACGUGAAAUUGUUGAAAGGGAAGCGUUUGGCAUCAG